rfam:Nocardia sp. NRRL S-836 P437contig18.1, whole genome shotgun sequence.
CGAUUCGGGUGCCGUGAGGCCUCGGUCCGCUCGAGUAUCGGCCCUGGCGCACCUUCCCCGGCGCCAGGUUCGACGGGCGGGCGGGGACCUGACGUCACCCGAACGCGCAU